rnacentral:rRNA from 1 species
AUUGAACGCUGGCGGCAUGCCUUACACAUGCAAGUCGAACGGUAACAGGGAGCUUGCUCCGCUGACGAGUGGCGAACGGGUGAGUAAUGUAUCGGAACGUACCAUUCAGUGGGGGAUAACGUAGCGAAAGUUACGCUAAUACCGCAUAUUCUGUGAGCAGGAAAGCAGGGGAUCGCAAGACCUUGCGCUGAUUGAGCGGCCGAUAUCAGAUUAGCUAGUUGGUGAGGUAAAGGCUCACCAAGGCGACGAUCUGUAGCGGGUCUGAGAGGAUGAUCCGCCACACUGGAACUGAGACACGGUCCAGACUCCUACGGGAGGCAGCAGUGGGGAAUUUUGGACAAUGGGGGCAACCCUGAUCCAGCCAUGCCGCGUGAGUGAAGAAGGCCUUCGGGUUGUAAAGCUCUUUCGGCCGGGAAAAAUCGCAUCAGUUAAUACCUGGUGUGGAUGAUGGUACCGGAAUAAGAAGCACCGGCUAACUACGUGACC